UACGAAGGGGGCUAGCGUUGCUCGGAAUGACUGGGCGUAAAGGGCGCGUAGGCGGUUCGCUAAGUUGAAUGUGAAAACUCUGGGCUUAACCCAGAGCCUGCAUUCAAUACUGGCGGGCUAGAGUUCUGGAGGGGAUAGCGGAAUUCCUGGUGUAGCGGUGAAAUGCGUAGAUAUCAGGAGGAACACCGGUGGCGAAGGCGGCUAUCUGGACAGAGUCUGACGCUGAGGCGCGAAAGCUAGGGGAGCGAACGGG
rnacentral:rRNA from 1 species